CUCAAAUGAAUUGACGGGGGCCCGCACAAGCGGUGGAGCAUGUGGUUUAAUUCGACGCAACGCGAAGAACCUUACCUGGCCUUGACAUGCUGAGAAUCCUGCAGAGAUGCGGGAGUGCCUUCGGGAACUCAGACACAGGUGCUGCAUGGCCGUCGUCAGCUCGUGUCGUGAGAUGUUGGGUUAAGUCCCGUAACGAGCGCAACCCCUAUCCCUAGUUGCUAGCAGUUCGGCUGAGAACUCUAGGGAGACUGCCGGUGACAAACCGGAGGAAGGUGGGGAUGACGUCAGGUCAUCAUGGCCCUUACGGCCAGGGCUACACACGUGCUACAAUGGUGCGUACAGAGGGCUGCAAACCCGCGAGGGGGAGCCAAUCUCACAAAACGCAUCGUAGUCCGGAUCGGAGUCUGCAACUCGACUCCGUGAAGUCGGAAUCGCUAGUAAUCGCGAAUCAGAAUGUCGCGGUGAAUACGUUCCCGGGCCUUGUACACACCGCCCGUCACACCAUGGGAGUGGAUUGCACCAGAAGUGGUUAGUCUAACCUUCGGGAGGACGAUCACCACGGUGUGGUUCAUGACUGGGGUGAAGUCGUAACAAGGUAGCCGUAGGGGAACCUGCGGCUGG
rnacentral:rRNA from 1 species